rnacentral:rRNA from 1 species
AAACGACUGCUAAUACCGCAUAAUGUCUACGGACCAAAGUGGGGGACCUUCGGGCCUCACGCCAAAAGAUUAGCCCAAGUGGGAUUAGCUAGUUGGUAAGGUAAUGGCUUACCAAGGCAACGAUCCCUAGCUGGUUUGAGAGGAUGAUCAGCCACACUGGGACUGAGACACGGCCCAGACUCCUACGGGAGGCAGCAGUGGGGAAUAUUGCACAAUGGGCGCAAGCCUGAUGCAGCCAUGCCGCGUGUGUGAAGAAGGCCUUCGGGUUGUAAAGCACUUUCAGUAAGGAGGAAAGGGUANUCUUUAAUAGAGGCUAUCUGUGACGUUACUUACAGAAGAAGCACCGGCUAACUCCGUGCCAGCAGCCGCGGUAAUACGGAGGGUGCGAGCGUUAAUCGGAAUUACUGGGCGUAAAGCGUACGCAGGCGGUUUGUUAAGCGAGAUGUGAAAGCCCCGGGCUCAACCUGGGAACUGCAUUUCGAACUGGCAAACUAGAGUGUGAUAGAGGGUGGUAGAAUUUCAGGUGUAGCGGUGAAAUGCGUAGAGAUCUGAAGGAAUACCGAUGGNGAAGGCAGCCACCUGGGU